CAGCAGACAGCAGCCGAGGAGGGUGGGUCCCCUGGGGCCCCUGGGUGGCGCAUGGCCCUGCCCACAUCCUGGCCGUGGGCUCUGGAGCCCAGGCCUGUGUGAAGCACAUCUCCAUUGUUUGAAGUCCCGUGGCCUGUAGCACUCUGGUCUGAUGGCCACUGGAAGCUCACACCUGGGUUUCAGUUAUUCGGGCUGUGAACUCUAAGAUUAGUGUCUGGUGGACACGCAGACACAGGAGACACAAGCCAGAGAAAGGCACCGUGCACUCUGAGGGGUGAGCCACAGUCCACAGAAAUCUCAAGGUAAGAGCCAGAGCCCAAAGCGGCCUUCUCCGUGGAUCUCAGGUGUGGAACAUCAUGUGGCUGGAGAAUCCUGGGCCACGGGCCACGUCUGGGCCUGACCGUCUGGGCCGGCGCCCAAACUCACAGAGGGACGUCGGGAUCCGAGGAGCUGGAAGGAACGAGUCCCAGACAUGAUGGAAAGACAGUCUCUGCCGUGCCAGCUGCCCUGGGGCCCCGAGAGGCCCUUCCUGACACCUGCCCCACCCCGGCUUCCCAGAGCAUCUGGACCUUCCUUCAGGCUGGGCCCGAACGACGAACGACGCACGCCGCGUCGGGACCCUGCUUCUCCGGGAGGAGGGAAAGUGAUCUAUUUGCGGGAGACAUAUUUUCCAGGCGCUUUAGGAAAGACACCCCACCCCCUCGGCUGCUGACUGUAAAAUAAGAAAACUAUUACCCGGCUGGGCAACAAUGGGCUCCCACGGUGCUUUUCUGCGCGGCCCGCAGCUGCAGGGAAAGUGGAAGCUCGGGCAGGAGCCUCCUCCGCCGCCUUUCUAUGGGCAGGAGGCCUCCCGCUGCUGCGCCGCAUUUUCUAUGCAAAACUGCAGAAGAAGUGACAUUUUAAAAGUUUU
rnacentral:lncRNA from 1 species